CAUGGUGUCAUCCUUCAGAUCAGCAGAGAAUGCAACAGGGUACCAGAAAUUCUUAAGGUGGGAAUUGUAAGGUUGAACUGGACCUGAAACAUUCAAGCUUUUUUGUGGCAAUCUCCCUUUAACAGUAUCCAGAGAUUGAGUAGAAGUACUAGGAGAAGAGGAGGUUUGGUCAGACUCUGUUGUGCUACUAUCUUGUAACAGCCUAUCGUUAACCAAUGCUUCCAUGUGAGCUAGUUUAUCUAAAGCAGUAGUAACCCUUGCUUCAGAUAUAUGAACCUGUUGGUGUGCUUGGGUUAAUUCUUCUUGCAACCCAGCAAGCUCCUUCCUCAAGGUGCCAAUAGACUUGUACUCGCGAGCCAGAGGAUUUAGAACUUCCACAACCUUUUCAUGAAGAAGCAUAAUGGUGAGAACAUCUUGACGAGCUCGCCAAUCACAGUACUGUUUAGCCACUUCGAGUGCUUGAUUUACAUCCAAGAAUUUCCCUUUAUAGUGUGGCAUCUUAGACCUCGGAUCCUCAACAUCAAAGAUGGUACCCCAUACACUCUUCUUAUCCUGCAGCCCACCUUCCCCCCCAAAUACGGCAAACACCCGAAAUCCGCCCCUAACUCCCUUUUCAGUAUUACGCUUAGAUGAUCUAAACAGAGAAAUGGGCAUAGAGAGCGCUGCAGCAGUAGCUACAGUGUUCAUGGCGUUUGAAAAAUAU
rnacentral:misc_RNA from 1 species